rnacentral:rRNA from 1 species
UACAGAGGAGCCAAGCGUUGUCCGGAUUGACUGGGCGUAAAGCGCACGCAGGCGGUCGGGCGCGUGGGGUGUGAAAUCUGGCCGCUUAACGGCCAGGCGCCAUCCCAUACGGCUCGACUGGAGUGAUGCAGAGGUCGGUGGAAUUGCCGGUGUAGUGGUGAAAUGCGUAGAGAUCCGGAAGAACACCGGAGGCGAAGGCGGCUUGCUGGGCGUAGUCUGACGCUGAGGCGCGAAAGCGUGGGGAGCGAACAGG